rnacentral:rRNA from 1 species
CGCGUAGGCGGCUUGUUAAGUCGGAUGUGAAAUCCCUGGGCUCAACCUAGGCAUUGCAUUCGAUACUGGCAAGCUAGAGUAUGGGAGAGGAAGGUAGAAUUCCAGGUGUAGCGGUGAAAUGCGUAGAGAUCUGGAGGAAUACCGAUGGCGAAGGCAGCCUUCUGGCCUAAUACUGACGCUGAGGUGCGAAAGCAUGGGGAGCAAACAGGAUUAGAUACCCUGGUAGUCCAUGCCGUAAACGAUGUCAACUAGCCGUUGGGCCCCUUGAGGGCUUAGUGGCGCAGCUAACGCGAUAAGUUGACCGCCUGGGGAGUACGGUCGCAAGACUAAA